UUAAAGAUUUCAACUAAAGUGAAUCAAUGGGCUCAAUUAGUUUGCACAAUUGUAGCUGAAUGUGGAGAAGUACGAAAUCCGUGUGGCCGGUUAUCACAAAAUGCAAUUUAUAUUUAGCGUUAAGCGUGGCGUAUCCAAGCUAAGCUCCAGAGCUUAUUGUUAGGCCGCUUCUCCCUACCUCCACAAGAACCGGCGUGCAUUCUACGCGAACGACUUUCAUGGAAGUGCACGUAGUGUAAAUGUACAGGACAAAGUAGAAAUCGUAAUACGACCGAGAACAGGAUGCCUCUUUGUUGAAAAGGUCGCAUCGCUUCAAGAAUUUUUGGACGAGGUUACAAAUACUGUAGGACUUCAACGUUUAUGUCAUAGCAUAAGGUAACCGCAAGACGAAUAGUUAAAAAAAAAAAAAAAAAAAA
rnacentral:misc_RNA from 1 species